rnacentral:rRNA from 1 species
UACGUAGGUGGCAAGCGUUGUCCGGAAUUAUUGGGCGUAAAGCGUGCGCAGGCGGUUUUGUAAGCCAGAUGUGAAAGCCCCGGGCUCAACCUGGGAAUGGCAUUUGGGACUGCAAGGCUGGAGUUUGGCAGAGGAGACUGGAAUUCCUGGUGUAGCAGUGAAAUGCGUAGAUAUCAGGAGGAAUACCGAUGGCGAAGGCAGGUCUCUGGGCUAUAACUGACGCUCAUGCACGAAAGCGUGGGGAGCAAACAGG